GGAUGUGAGGGUGAUCUGGCUGCAACAUCUGUCACCCCAUUGAUCGCCAGGGUUGAUUCGGCUGAUCUGGCUGGCUAGUGUCCCCUUCCUCCCUCACCGCUCCAUGUGCGUUUCUCCCAAAGCUACAAGACUUCUACCAAACCUUCCCCGAGACCGGUCUUCAGUCUUCAGUCGAGGGUAUAUGAGUAGCUGUGCUCCCCUGCUAGGACCUCCAAACAAUGUUCAAGGACCUGGGUUCAAGCCUCUGGUUCCCACCUGCAGGGGGAAGGCUUUACAAGUGGUGAAGCAGGGCCCC
ensembl:misc_RNA 7SK 7SK RNA